UAUUAUUUUUGAACUUUUGAGAGUGUAAUUUUUAAUGUUAUUUUUUAUUGUUUAUUUCACUUUUGUUUAUUAUCCAUUUCACUUGGUUGGCAAUGUAAACAUAUGUUUCCCAUGCCAAUAACAUAUGUUUCCCAUGCCCCUUAAAUUGAAAUUGAAUUGAGAGAGGGAGAGAGAGGAGGGAGGGAGUGAGUGAGUGAGUGAGUGAGUGAGUGAGUGAGUGAGUGAGAGAAAGAGAGAGAGAGACAGACAGUCAGAAACACAGACGGACAGAUCGUUGUUUUAGUGACUCGAUUAUGUAAAUUGAAAUUGUGAUGCUUUUUAACUUAGAUGAAAUUGCAUCAUUCCCAUUUUUAUGAUAGGAGUUGCCCCACUGAUUUGCAUAAUUUGCUAUAGAUUAUCGUUUGACUGCUCAUUUUAUUUUCCAGUUUCUGCGCCAGAUGUUCCAACCAAUGAAAGCGCUCGGGAAGGAGGAGGCGGAGGCUGGAAUUUCAGGGAUGCUUGUUAUGGCUGUCAAACCACUAGCGAUGAGAAAAACAUAUUUUUCCAUGUAAAAUUCACCCCUGACUCCAAUGAAAAAUGGACACAACGGUUGUUCCUAUAUGGAUUUAUAUGGAAAUAGCCAACUACAGGAUAAUCUGGGUUUGAAGCAGAGAACUGCCCUCAAGACGGUGAGUGGGCAUGUGCAGUGGUGCAUAUCUUGUGACUCCCCACUGAGCCCAGCCGCUCAUCAUAACAUGAAGAUAUGCUCAAAUAGUUCCCCAUUAAUGGACACAUUUGUCUUGAAUGUAACAGACUGUGGUGUAACCUCUUAUGCUUUGUUUGUAAUCUGUUCUCUUCGGUUGUUUUCAAUUUCUUGAGUCACAGUCUAAUCAUGACUAGCCAUAACUGUAUUAUUUAGAGAGGCUGUAAAUUCAAGUUUACUGUAAAUUCGAGUUUACUGUAAAUUAGCCUUUGCUUGGUUACCUAACUACUAUAACCUUUGUAUUGUUAAGAGACUUUCAGUUGAUAGUUAAAAUGUUGAUGCUCACUGAGUUUUUAAUGCAACGAUAUCGUCAACCUAUAGAGCCCGCCUAACGAGAGACCAAGAAAAUAAUAACAUUUUGAAAAUCCCAGACAACAGCCUACUUCUUCUUUCUUAACUUCUCCAAAAGACCCCAUUCCCUGGAACGAAAAAAUAUGCUCAUUGUUACCUUAGUCCAGAAUGGUUGUGCUCCAAGUUCAGGUUAGGUAGAGUAGGGACGUCUGAGUUUGCUGUGGUCCUCCCCUGCUAGUGACCACGGCCUAUAGAGGCAGACACAGAGCACAGUUUCCCCUGCUAGCAACCACUGCCUAUAGAGGCAGACACAGAGCACAGUUUCACUUCCAGGUAGGAUCACUGCCUAUAGAGGCAGACACAGAGCACAGUUUCACUUCCAUGUAGGAUCACUCCAGUCUAGAGAGAGAGACCAAAGGCUAGAUCAAAUCUAAUAGCGCUACCAUAAGUCUGUGUAGUUUUAAUGAGAACUAAAUGCACAUGCAUUCCCCCUGACCGGAAAUUACAGACUGAUCCACCUUCCUCCACCUUACACUGCUGAUUGGAAAGAAUAACAGGACAGAGGACAUCCCCUUGCUGCCUAGCCAGCCUUUCAGGAGACAAGCUCUUUUUUUCUGUGUGGCCAAUGACAUUAAUAAAGACUAUUUUUGGCUGAGGCUGCUGUGUGCCCAAGGUCGGGUUGGUCCAUAAAUGCAUAAAAGAAGGGUUAUCCAUUCUGUUAGUGAUCUGCAGCAAGGGAACAUGGCAAGGUGUGUGUGUGUUUUGUGUGUGUGUACACUAGCCUAUAUGCAUGUGAGUGUGUGUGUGUGUGUGUGUUAGUAUGUUUGUAUGUGUGUGCGUGUGAUGGCUCCCGUGGGAUUAUCUCGUGGUUAGGGAGUUUAGCAUUAACCAUUAAUGGGUGAUGUAUUAGAGUAGGCUGUUGGUUCAUCAUCUCCAGAAGGCCUUGCUGUGCCCACAGAUCCAGGUGUAAGCAGAUCUGAUGCUAUUAGCACGGCCUGUCAUUAAAUUAGCAAAUUAUAUCUGCUUUCUUUGGCUGGAGUCUCUCAAAUGCGUUUCAAAUGCCCCCCUAUUACCAAUAUAGGCUACUGCACUACAUUUUACCGGGGCACAUGUGGCUCUGGUCAAAAGUAUUCUCUCAGAAAAAAGGGUUCCAAAAU
ensembl:lncRNA